GGUUGCAAAGCUGAAACUUAAAGGAAUUGACGGAAGGGCACCACCAGGAGUGGAGCAUGCGGCUUAAUUUGACUCAACGCGGGAAAGUUCACCCGUCCCGGACACUGUCAGGAUUGACAGAUCAAGAGCUCUUUCUUGAUUCAGUGGAUAGUGGUGCAUGGCCGUUCUUAGUUGGUGGAGCGAUUUGUCUGGCCAAUCCCGAUAACGAACGAGACUCUGGCCUACUAACUAGUGACGGCGUGGUCUUUUCGCUGAGCACUUCUUAGAGGGACCAGCGGCGGUACAAAGCCGCACGAGAAAGAGCAAUAACAGGUCUGUGAUGCCCUUAGAUGGGCGGGGCUGCACGCGUGCUACACUGAUGGCAUCAACGUGCGUCCAAGCCUGACCUGUGAAGGUCAGGAAAUCGAUUGAAAUGUCCGUCGUGACUGGGAUAGGGAAUUGCAAUUAUUUCCCUUGAACGCGGAAUUCCCAGUAAGCGUGAGUCAUUAGCUUGCGUUGAUUACGUCC
rnacentral:rRNA from 1 species